rnacentral:rRNA from 1 species
GCAGUCGCCGCGGGAAUACAGAGGGUGCGAGCGUUAAUCGGAUUUACUGGGCGUAAAGCGUGCGUAGGCGGCUUCUUAAGUCGGAUGUGAAAUCCCUGAGCUUAACUUAGGAAUUGCAUUCGAUACUGGGAAGCUAGAGUAUGGGAGAGGAUGGUAGAAUUCCAGGUGUAGCGGUGAAAUGCGUAGAGAUCUGGAGGAAUACCGAUGGCGAAGGCAGCCAUCUGGCCUAAUACUGACGCUGAGGUACGAAAGCAUGGGGAGCAAACAGGAUUAGAUACCCGAGUAGUCCCUGUCUCUUAUAC